AAGUCGUAACAAGGUUUCCGUAGGUGAACCUGCGGAAGGAUCAUUAUUGAAUAAACCUGAUGUAGUUGUAGCUGGCUCCUAGGAGCAUGUGCACGCUCGUCACUUUUAUCUUUCCACCUGUGCACCCAUUGUAGGCCUGGAUAACCCUCGCUUGGUUUCAAGCGGACGCGAGAAUUGCUGCUGCUCUUUCUGCAAGGAAAGGCCGGCUUUUUUCGAAUUUCCAGGUCUAUGUUUUCUUACAUACCCCAAUUGAAUGUUACCGAAUGUUAUCAAUGGGCUUACGCCUAUAAAACACAAUACAACUUUCAGCAACGGAUCUCUUGGCUCUC
rnacentral:misc_RNA from 1 species